rnacentral:lncRNA from 1 species
UUAGUGUCAUGAUAUUUUUAAUCAAUUAAAAUAUAUAUUUUAUUUUAUUUUAUUUAUUUUAAAAAUUAUUUUAUUAUAAUUUUAUUUUGAAAAAAAAAUUAUUGACUAGUUACAAAUAAUGCGGUGCGGCUGCUACAAAGUAGACUUUCUUCACAUCAAGAGGUGGGAGGAGUUUUUUACCUCGUGCUCUGUUUUAUUUGGCGGGUCGAAAAGGAGUCAUGACGGAUUAUUUUGUUUUUCGUUGUUAUUUAUCAUUCUUUCGAAACAGGUCGAAAUGAAAGUGAAUUUUUAAUAUAUCAAAAUAAAUCAAAAAACAAAAAAAAUUCUACCUUCCGCUUUAUUUUUUGGCAGAUCAAAACGAAUUCGAAACCGAUAUAUAUAUUUUUAUUUAUUUUUAGUUUCCAUUUAUUGUUUCAUUCAAGA